UACGGAGGGUGCAAGCGUUAUCCGGAUUCACUGGGUUUAAAGGGUGCGUAGGUGGGUUGGUAAGUCAGUGGUGAAAUCCCCGAGCUUAACUUGGGAACUGCCAUUGAUACUAUUAAUCUUGAAUACCGUGGAGGUCAGCGGAAUAUGUCAUGUAGCGGUGAAAUGCUUAGAUAUGACAUAGAACACCAAUUGCGAAGGCAGCUGGCUACGCGAAUAUUGACACUGAUGCACGAAAGCGUGGGGAUCAAACAGGAUUAGAUACCCUGGUAGUCCACGCCCUAAACUAUGGAUACUCGACAUCAGCGAUACACUGUUGGUGUCUGAGCGAAAGCAUUAAGUAUCCCACCUGGGAAGUACGAUCGCAAGAUUG
rnacentral:rRNA from 1 species